rnacentral:rRNA from 1 species
AACUGCGAGUGAAGCGGGAAAAGCUCAAAUUUAAAAUCUGGCGGUCUUUGGUCGUCCGAGUUGUAGUCUGGAGAAGUGCUUUCCGCGCUGGACCGUGUACAAGUCUCUUGGAACAGAGCGUCAUAGAGGGUGAGAAUCCCGUCUUUGACACGGACUACCAGUGCUUUGUGAUGCGCUCUCAAAGAGUCGAGUUGUUUGGGAAUGCAGCUCAAAAUGGGUGGUAAAUUCCAUCUAAAGCUAAAUAUUGGCGAGAGACCGAUAGCGAACAAGUACCGUGAGGGAAAGAUGAAAAGCACUUUGGAAAGAGAGUUAAACAGUACGUGAAAUUGCUGAAAGGGAAACGCUUGAAGUCAGUCGCGUUCGCCAGGACUCAGCCUUGCUUUAGUGAGGUGCAUUUUCUGGUUGACGGGCCAGCAUCGAUUUUUGUUGUCGGAUAAAGGCAGGGGGAAUGUGGCAUCUUCGGAUGUGUUAUAGCCCUCAGUCACAUGCGACGGCUGGGAUCGAGGACCGCAGCACGCCUUUAUGGCCGGGGUUCGCCCACGUUCGUGCUUAGGAUGCUGGCAUAAUGGCUUUAAACGACCCGUCUUGAAACACGGACCAAGGAGUCUAACAUGCCUGCGAGUGUUUGGGUGGAAAACCCGAGCGCGUAAUGAAAGUGAAAGUUGAGAUCCCUGUCGUGGGGAGCAUCGACGCCCGGACCUGACCUUCUGUGAUGGAUCUGCGGUAGAGCAUGUAUGUUGGGACCCGAAAGAUGGUGAACUAUGCCUGAAUAGGGUGAAGCCAGAGGAAACUCUGGUGGAGGCUCGUAGCGAUUCUGACGUGCAAAUCGAUCGUCAAAUUUGGGUAUAGGGGCGAAAGA